GACGGACCGUGCGAACGUUAUUCGGAAUCACGUGGGACUUAAAGCGUGUGCAGGCGGCCCGGCACGUCCCUCGCUGAAACGCCCCCGGCUCAACCGGGGAAGGGGCGGGGAUACGACCGGGCUGGAGGGGGGUAGGGGGAGCCGGAACUCACGGUGGAGCGGUGAAAUGCGUUGAGAUCGUGAGGAACGCCCGUGGCGAAAGCGGGCUCCUGGGCCCCGCCUGACGCUGAGACGCGAAAG
rnacentral:rRNA from 1 species